AUGGACCAGCAUUUUGCUGGCUUAGACCUGAACUCUUUGGAUAAUCAGACUGGAGGAAGUACAGCAAGUAGGCUUUAUAUCCCUCCUCAUUUAAGUAACAGAAAAGCUACUAAAGGAUCCUAUGGCAAAGGCAUUUUAAGAUGGAGGUCUAGUAAAGAUGAGGAUUCAUACAGAAGUUUUGGAUCAUGGGGUGACACAAGAGGGAAGUCUAGCUCCUUUGGUGAUCAUGGAAGUGAAUCAAGGGAAAGGUUUGAUGAUUAUGGACGGGGAGAAUAUGUUGGCAUUCGCAGCUGAGAAGCUAGAAGUGGCUUUGGCAAAUUUGAAAGAGGUGGGAAUAGUCACUGGUGUGACAAAUCAGAUGAAGAAAACUUGUCAAAGCCACUCCCACCAAGUGAACACUUGGAACAGAAGCUCUUUUCUGGAGGCAAUACUGGGAUUAACUUUUAGAAAUAUGGUGACAUCCCCAUUGAACAACAGGUAACAACUGCCCUACACACGUUGAAAGUUUUGGUGAUGUUGAGAUGGGAGAAAUGUUUAUGGAAAACAUUGAGAUAACUUGUUAUACUAGCCCAACUAGAGUGCAGAAAUAUGUUAUUCCUAUUAUCAAAGAGAAAAGAGACUUGAUGGCUUGUGCUCAAACAGUCUCUGGAAAACUGCAGCAUUUCUCUUGCACAUCUUGAGUCAGAUUUAUGCUGAUGGUCCAGGAGAGGCUCUGAGGGCCAUGAAGGAAAAUGAAAGAUAUGGAUGUUGUAAACAGUAUCCAAUCUCCUUGGUACUUGCACCAAGGAGAGAAUUGGCAGUGCAGAUCUAUGUGGAAGCCAGAAAAUUCUCAUACUUAUCUAGAGUCCGUCCUUGUGUGGUUUAUGGCGGUGCUGUAAUUGGUCAGCAGAUUUGAGACUUAGAAUGUGGAUGCCACUUGUUGGUAGCCACUCAAGGACAUCUAGUGGACAUGAUGGAGAGAGGAAAGAUUGGGUUCGACUUCUGCAAAUACCCGGUACAAGAUGAAGCUGACAAGAUGGUAGAUAUGGGUUUGAAUUUCAGAUACAUAGAAUAGUUGAACAAGACACUAUGCCUCCAAAAGGUGUUUGCCACACUAUCAUGUUCAGUGCUACUUUUCCUAAGGAAAUACAGAUGCUGACCCAUGAUUUCUUAGAUGAGCACAUAUUUCUGGCUGUAGGAAGAGUUGGGUGUACUUCAGAGAACAUCACACAAAAAGUGGUUUGGGUGGAGGAGAUAGAGAAAAGGUCACUUCUACUUGACCUCCUAAAUGCAACAUACAAGGAUUCCCUGACUCUAGUGUUUGUGGAGACCAAAAAGGGGGCAGAUUCACUGGAGGAUUUCUUAUACCAUGAAGAAUAUCCUUGUACCAGUAUCCAUGGAGACGGUCCUCAGAGAAAUGGGAAAGAGGAUCUUCACUAGUUCUGCUCAGGAAAAAGCCCAAUUCUAGUGGCUACAGCAAGAGGAUUGGAUAUUUCAAAUGUGAAGCAUGUUAUUAAUUUUGACUUACCUAGUGAUAUCAAAGAAUAUAUGCAUAAAAUAGGUCGUACAGGGUGUGCAGGAAGCCUUGGUCUUGCCACCUCAUUCUUUAAUGAAAGGAAUAUAAAUAUCACUAGGGAUUUACUUGAUCUUCUUGUUGAAGCAAAACAAGAAGUGCCAUCUUGUUUAGAAAACAUGACUUUUGAACACUACUACAAAGGCAGCAGUCAUGAACGUUCUAAGACCUGUAUAUUUAGUGGAUAGUUUUGUGUCAGAGACUAUCGACAGAUUAGUGGUGUCAGCAGUCCCAGCUUCAGCAGCAGCUGUGCAAGCAGCAUUCAAAGUGUAGAGGUGGCCAUGACAGCAGCAAAGGAUUUGGUGGAGGUGGCUAUGGAGGCUUUUACAACACUGAUGAAUAUGGAGGAAAUUGUAACUCCCAGGGGGUUGACUUGUGGGGUAACUAAGCCUGCUUACAAAGUAGGUCAUCCUGCCAAACAAGCUAAUAUGGAAACCACAUG